rnacentral:rRNA from 1 species
AACGAACGCUGGCGGCAGGCUUAACACAUGCAAGUCGAGCGCCCCGCAAGGGGAGCGGCAGACGGGUGAGUAACGCGUGGGAAUCUACCCAUCUCUACGGAAUAACGCAUGGAAGCGUGUGCUAAUACCGUAUACGUCCUUCGGGAGAAAGAUUUAUCGGAGAUGGAUGAGCCCGCGUUGGAUUAGCUAGUUGGUGGGGUAAAGGCCUACCAAGGCGACGAUCCAUAGCUGGUCUGAGAGGAUGAUCAGCCACACUGGGACUGAGACACGGCCCAGACUCCUACGGGAGGCAGCAGUGGGGAAUAUUGGACAAUGGGCGCAAGCCUGAUCCAGCCAUGCCGCGUGAGCGAUGAAGGCCCUAGGGUUGUAAAGCUCUUUCACCGGUGAAGAUAAUGACGGUAACCGGAGAAGAAGCCCCGGCUAACUUCGUGCCAGCCGCCGCGGUAAGAC